CACGAACAUCAGGCAUAAUAGAGAGCGACCGUGUAAGAAGAUCGAAAGCUGAAGCGAAAGACGAGCUUCAGAAAGCUUGAAAAUUCAAUUUCUGGCGAACCAUGGACAGAACACAGAUGUUGAAAACCGUGGAAAGCUUGAGAGACCAGCUGAGAAUUUCGCGUUUGCCGGUUUCUAUAUGCAGCAACGAGUUAAAGGAGUAUUGCACACAAAAUGGCACAAAAGAUCCCCUUAUUCAUCCACCAGAAAGACGGGAAAAUCCAUUCGCGGAAAAACAGAAAUGUACCAUACUUUAACAAACGGAAAAAACGGGUGAAUCGCCAGAAGAGAGGAUAGAAGUUUUUCAGUCUCAAAUUAACGAAUUUUUAGCCAGCUAUUGCAUUGUUGUCAUGGAGGAGUUUUAAAUUAAGCUCAGGGUGGACAUUCGGUAACACUGGUCAUGCAUCUUUUGCAUGGACUUUAACAUUACUGAUGAUUUGAGAAAGAGAUCUAUUUGUGUGAUGACCAUUUUCGACGAGGAGUAAUUAAUGUUCCUGUAUCCAUCCUUGACAAAAUCGAAUAUAUGAUACAUAUGCCUGUUUUUCUGCCCUCAGCCGUUGUUUGUUUUACAUAACUUCAUUGAAUUAUGAAUUUGAAAUUGUUUCUGUCCUUCAUGUAAACAGUGGACAUCCCGUCGGAUGUGAGAAAACAUGGUCGAUGUCUACUCAACGUUGAAAGUAAAAAGAUCUAGUACUCGUGAUAACUUGAAAUGAAUAUCAGUAAGAGUAUUUGUAGUAAUUCUUAUUCCGAAACAACCUGAUCAACAAUUCACAAAAUCCAACCUAUUCAGGUUUGCAUUUCAAUUUCACAACUAUUUCAGUUAGCAGGUGGGAGUUACUUUACGAAUAAACUUCACUGAAUCAGGGCUAUUUUUUUUCUUUCAUUAUAAUAACAAAAGACAGAUGUGGUUUUACUGCCAUUUAAGAAAAGAAAUUAAUUGUAAGAAGCAUUAUUGUCUGGACCUUAAGACGUCCAGGUCGGUUCCGGCAGAAAUAAUCAAGAAUUGCUGGAUUGUAGAUUUCUACAAAUAUAACUUAAAGUAACAAAGCAGCGAAAAUUAGGCAACAUGUAUCCCCUUUAAAUUUACGCCUUUGCUAAGAUCGGAGCCGUUAGCUAACGAGUGGUCAGUUAUGACUAAAACGUAGACAAAACAGCCCGUUUUUUCAGCUGACGCUCGUCUUGGGUUUGGACAAGACUUUAAGUUUACGUGCACCAUGUGGAAAUCGCCAUUUUUACAUUCUUGGAGUUAAAGAACAUAUCAUUGUUGAGCCACCUUGAAUCUUUUCCCAAGUCAAACAAAAUUUUCAUCUCAAAAUACGCUUGUUUCCUUAAAGUUGGUGUGUAAUAAAAACAUUAACGAACACAA